rnacentral:lncRNA from 1 species
GAAAAUGUUUAGUUGGGAAUUGGAUGUGUUACAAAAAAUGUCAACGGUUUAACUUUGCCCACUGGUCUAGAAUUGAGCAAGUUGAAUGUUGCUUGAUAUUAGCUAAGCUAAUUAACUAGCUAAUAUGCAUUAACUAAUGAUCUCCUGUUUCAGCAGCUUGAAUUUCAUCCACAUUUGCUCUGUAAGUUGACGUGUAAUUUUGGCUACGUGUUCAAGAUUUAAACGAGUGCAUUUUGAUCUGCUUGCUUCUGCCAGGGGGCAAGUCUGGGGGCGACAGGAUAUGAUGCAGACACAGAAGACACACAUGAUGAGAAGGACAUUUUGGAUGGGGAACCAGCUGCAUCUCAAGAAGCUGCGUCUCCACAACCGUCAGACGAGCUGGGAGGAGCUGAUGAUGAAACAGAACCAGCUGCAUCUCAAGAAGCUGCAUCUCCACAACCGUCAGACGAGCUGGGAGGGAUGA